GGGAAUUGGCGGGCUGCUAUACAUGCAGUCAGAUAAAUACAAGGAGCUUGCUUCCUUUACUAAAGGAGCGACGUGGUGUAGUCAACACUGGUGGAACCCCAUAACAGCUGGAAUAAUCCGGGAACCGGGGGUAACCGGAAACAUUAGACCGCAGGUUUAAAAGUGAAGAUGGUUUGCUAUACAUAAGAGGACCCGCGCCCUAUUAAGUGUUGGUAAGGUAAGGCUUACCAAGGCCAACGAUAAGUGCCAACUGAGAGGGUGAUCGGCCCACAACUGGAAUGAGACACGGUCCAGAUCUACGGGAGGCAGCAGUAGGGAAUCUUCCGCAAUGGGCGAAAGCCUGACGGAGCAACGCCGCUGAGUGAUGAAGGGUUUCGGCUCGUAAAACUCUGUUAUUAGGGAAGAACAAACGUGUAAGUAACUGUGCACGUCUUGACGGUACCUAAUCAGAAAGCCACGGCUAACUACGUGCCAGCAGCCGCGGUAAUACGUAGGUGGCAGCGUUAUCCGGAAUUAUUGGGCGUAAAGCGCGCGUAGGCGGUUUCUUAAGUCUGAUGUGAAAGCCCACGGCUCAACCGUGGAGGGUCAUUGGAAACUGGGAGACUUGAGUGCAGAAGAGGAAAGUGGAAUUCCAUGUGUAGCGGUGAAAUGCGCAGAGAUAUGGAGGAACACCAGUGGCGAAGGCGACUUUCUGGUCUGUAACUGACGCUAUGUGCGAAAGCGUGGGGAUCAAACAGGAUUAGAUACCCUGGUAGUCCACGCCGUAAACGAUGAGUGCUAAGUGUUAGGGGGUUUCCGCCCCUUAGUGCUGCAGCUAACGCAUUAAGCACUCCGCCUGGGGAGUACGACCGCAAGGUUGAAACUCAAAGGAAUUGACGGGGACCCGCACAAGCGGUGGAGCAGUGGUUUAAUUCGAAGCAACGCGAGAACUUACCAAAUCUUGACAUCCUUUGACCACUCUAGAGAUAGAGCUUUCCCCUUCGGGGGACAAAGUGACAGGUGGUGCAUGGUUGUCGUCAGCUCUGUCGUGAGAUGUUGGGUUAAGUCCCGCAACGAGCGCAACCCUUAAACUUAGUUGCCAGCAUUUAGUUGGGCACUCUAGGUUGACUGCCGGUGACAAACCGAGAAAGGUGGGGGAUGACGUCAAUCAUCAGCCCCUUAAUUUGGGCUACACACUGUCAUGGGGACAAUAAAAGGGGCUAACCCGGGGCUUGCAAUCCCAUAAAUUUGUUCUCAUUCGAAUUGUAGUCUCCGGCCCCGACUACAGAACUUGGAACGCUUUAGUAACGUAAAUCAGCAGGCUCUGGUAAAUUCCCGGUCUUUGUAACACCCCCGUCCACCAACGAAAUUUUGUACCCCGACCGGUGGAGUAACACGUUUUUGGGCUAGUCCUCCG
rnacentral:rRNA from 1 species